rnacentral:lncRNA from 1 species
GAAAACGACAAAGUAUGAGUUUUUAUGAAUAACGGCGUAAUUGUUACCGUUAACACUAUUGGGUUAUCUGGUGGUUAAAAAUACAGUAAUAUGCGUGGUUGCACAGUAGUACACGGUAUUGCACAGUAUUAUUGAAUUAUUGAUUCGUACGUAAGAAGGCACUACUCAAUAAUUAUCACAGUAGUUAUUGUUCAAUAUUUUAUUUAUUGAUUCAAUAAUUGAUAAGUUGUUAGUUUAUAUUAUUAUUAUUUUAAUAAUUGUCACUGCACAGUAAUUUCCAUUAUCAGAUCAAUAAUUCAUAUUAUUUGAAUAAUAUUAUUAGAUAACAUUAUUGGCAAUGUCUAGAAAGUUCUGUCAAUGAGAGGUUUG